rnacentral:rRNA from 1 species
UACGUACUGUGCGAACGUUAUUCGGAAUCACUGGGCUUAAAGGGUGCGUAGGCGGCCAAUUAAGUAGGGUGUGAAAUCCCUCGGCUCAACCGAGGAAUUGCGCUCUAAACUGGUUGGCUUGAGUGAGAUAGGGGUGUGCGGAACUUCCAGUGGAGCGGUGAAAUGUGUUGAUAUUGGAAGGAACGCCGGUGGCGAAAGCGGCACACUGGGUCUUAACUGACGCUGAGGCACGAAAGCCAGGGGAGCGAACGGG